GACGAACGCUGGCGGCGUGCUUAACACAUGCAAGUCGAACGGAAAGGCUCCAGCUUGCUGGAGUACUCGAGUGGCGAACGGGUGAGUAACACGUGAGUAAUCUGCCCUGCACUCUGGGAUAAGCCUGGGAAACUGGGUCUAAUACUGGAUAUGACCUUUCUCCUUAUGGGGUUUGGUGGAAAGUUUUUCGGUGUAGGAUGAGCCCGCGGCCUAUCAGCUUGUUGGUGGGGUGAUGGCCUACCAAGGCGACGACGGGUAGCCGGCCUGAGAGGGUGAUCGGCCACAUUGGGACUGAGAUACGGCCCAGACUCCUACGGGAGGCAGCAGUGGGGAAUAUUGCACAAUGGGCGGAAGCCUGAUGCAGCGACGCCGCGUGAGGGAUGACGGCCUUCGGGUUGUAAACCUCUUUCAGCAGGGACGAAGCGUAAGUGACGGUACCUGCAGAAGAAGCACCGGCUAACUAUGUG
rnacentral:rRNA from 1 species